rnacentral:lncRNA from 1 species
CUGACCACAUGUAAUUCUACCAAGAAAUACCAUUAUCAACAAGCUAGUACACAUCCUGCCAGUAGUUCUCCGGUGUUUCGUUUUGUUUUUUUCUUUUUCAUUUUGAACCUAAGUUUCCUGAGGCAUACCAACCUGUGUGUAAAUUCCGAGUGGUGACAUUUACCCUUAUUUUACUGUCUCUUACCCUGUGGGCCAUUGCAGUACUUUACAUCCCCAACAAAUUGCCCUUCGAUUAUGUCUGCAACUUAUUCACCAAAUCAGACCAGUUGUACUGUGGCAGUGCCUGGCACCACCAUCUGGAUAGGCACCAGCCUGUUUCCCAGGAUAAUUGGUCCCCAGGGUGCUGUUCUCUCUGCACUGCCACCAGGGCCUGCUGGAUGUGGCCAUCUCUGCCAGGGAUGCAGAGCUGGGCUGUGUCCCCUAGUACCCUGGAGGCCCCAAGGCAGCUAGGGUCUAUCCUGAAAUGAGAAUGUCUCCCUCUACUCUGGUUUCCCAGUCUGUUAGGCCAUUUGAACCUACAUGUCCUGGAGCUUUUAGCUGAAGCAUCUCCUUCAGCAUUUACUUGCAGACAUCCUGUCACUGGGACUUGGACAAGAGCCCCUGGGGGCUGGGCUGAGGGCAGACCUCCUGUCAAUUUUCAGAACUGCCCUACUCCCUGCUCAGCCAGAACACUGGGGCUCUGCUACAAGUGGAGCUCCAGCCUGGUCGGAGUCUCUCUCAGCAGUUGCUCUGAUAGCCUUCAGGAUGGUGCUCCCAACCAGUCUGCAAAGCCUCCAGACCUCAGAAUGCAGCCCUCGGUCAUGUUCAUUGAUUGGGCAAAUACUAAGUGAAUGCUACUCUGUGCCAGGUACUCCACCAGGCACUGAGAACACAAAGAUGAGUAAACACGAACAUGGGGCCUGCCCUCAUGGAACUUACUUUCUUGUGGGAGAGAAGACAAUGAUCAAAUUACAAAUAAGUGGGCCCAGCAUGGUGACUUACACCUGUAAUCCCAGCACUUUGGGAUGCCAAGGCCAGCUGAUUACUUGACGUCAAGAGUUCGAGACCAGCCUGACCAACAUGGUGAAACCCCACCUCUACUAAAAAUGCAAAAAUUAGUCAGGUGUUGUGGUGGGCACCUAUAAUCCCAGCUACUUGGGAGACUGAGGCAGGAGAAUCGCUUGAACUUGGGAGGCAGAUGUUGCAGUGAGCUGAGAUUGUGCUACUGUACUCCAGCCUGGGUGACAAAGCAAAACUCCAUCUCAAAAAAAAAAAAAAAAA